rnacentral:lncRNA from 1 species
AUGUCAUUCCACGUAAAACUCCCAUCUGCGCCAGCCGCGCCGCCGCCGCCGCCUCAGCCGCCGCGAGAAGAGGUGGGUGGAAAAAGAGAGCAGCUUCUGAGGGUGCAAACUUUCUUCCCCCCCCCCUCUCCUCUUUUCCCUCCCUGGCUUCUGCCGCCUCGGCGAAGCAGCCUUCUGGGCGCGCGCGCGCGCGUGCCCUUUCCUCUUCACCUUCAUUCUCCUCCUGCAGCAGCAGGAGCUGCUGCUUUUUCCUCACUCCGCCUCCCCAGCGCUUUUUGGACUCUCAUACACUCACACAUUUGGGCUGCUGUUAAGAGCGGGUUCCCGGGCUUGUGGAGCUGCUGGAGGGGAGAGCGAGCGAGCAAGCGGGCGGGCAGGCCGGGAAGGUGGAGGAGGAGCAGCAGUCAAGCGCCCUCCCCUCUCUUUCGCUCUCUCUCUCUCUCCCCCCCCCCCCCCCCCCCCCCGGNNNNNNNNNNNNNNNNNNNNNNNNNNNNNNNNNNNNNNNNNNNNNNNNNNNNNNNNNNUCUCCCCUGCCGCCUCAGGAGGAAAGGGAAUAACUCGAGAGCUACAAGAACUGUCCACACACCCCAAACCCCCCUCUCUCCCUCUUUGGCCGGCUCUCCCAUCCAGUAUCUGGAGCGCCAGAGCCGCUGUCAUGCCUCGCUUUCUCGCAGAGACGACCGAGGGGCGGCCAGGAGGGAGGGAAGGGGGAGGAGGCGGGUAGCACAGGCUGGCGAGCGGGCAAGGCCGAGCUGCACGCAUCAUCAUCGGGCGGAGGGAAGCGCUGCCUCUAAUAGAGAAAACGGGGCGGGCAGUUUCCGUCCUCGCUCCGCCGCCGUUUCCUUCCUUCCCUCCCUCCCUCCGUCCCUCUCUCCUCCCCCCUCUCUCUACUGUACCUACUGUAUGCGCGCCUUUCCCGUGCCCUCAUUGGCACCCGCGCCGUCUCUCUCUCUCUCGACCUUUUCGUCCCCAGUCCAGCGUCGCAUACAACAGGUUUUUGUUUCUUUUCUUUUUUUCCUCCAAUCUCCUCCCUCUCUCCCUCCCGCCCUGGCCCGUGUCUCUACACGUGCGAACUGGAGAAGCCUGAACCGGGGUCGCUUUCUAAAGUUCAUAAGGCUGCUCUGGGUGAGAAAACAGCGAAGGCAAAAGAGAGGCGAAAUAAAGGCUUCGUGGCUUUUAUUAAAUUCUCUGUGCGUGCUUUUCAAAUGGCAGGUGCCCCUUGUUUAUGAGGGGGAAAUAGAAUUUGAAAGGAAUAGCGAGAAAGGAACGACACGGGUCCGUGUGUCAUGGCAGGCUUUUUCGGUGGCUUCUGAGAGGCCAAGGUGGUGCCCACAACGUUCAUCCUUCCCACUUUAUUCCUCAUAA